GAUGAAGAACGUAGCGAAAUGCGAUACUUGGUGUGAAUUGCAGAAUCCCGUGAACCAUCGAGUCUUUGAACGCAAGUUGCGCCCGAAGCCAUCAGGUUGAGGGCACGUCUGCCUGGGCGUCACAUAUCGUUGCUCGAUGCCUAUCGCAUUGCGAUAGGACUUAGGGCGAAUGAUGGCUUCCCGUGAGCGUUGUUGCCUCGCGGUUGGUUGAAAAUCGAGUCCUUGGUAGGGUGUACCAUGAUGGAUGGUGGUUGAGUGAUGAUGCUCGAGACCAAUCAUGGGUAACUCCACCAGAAUUGGGCUCGGUGACCCACAUGCGUCCCUUGGAUGCUCCCUAAGGAGACCUCAGGUCAGGCGGGGCUACCUGCUGAGUUUAAGCAUAUCAAUAAGCGGAGA
rnacentral:misc_RNA from 1 species